rnacentral:lncRNA from 1 species
CCAGAGCCGAGACGUUAACGUUACAUGUGGCCCGUGUGGUCAUCCAUGCGUGCGGCCGUAAAGUCGGUUGACCCACGCAACCCACGCGCCUCAGCGGAAAGCGUCACAGCCCAGAUGUGGUGCCAGCCUGAAGAUGAAUUUUCCACCCCAUGUGCAGCUUUUCGACAGCACUUCAGACACAGAAUUCAUUGAAGCACAGUUGCGGGCGUGUUUGCACCAGUGCAAGCAGCUGGAAUUCGACGAUAAUGCUUCUGGAAAACAAUCCUGGGUCAAUGAUCUAGCAGAGUUGCUCAGCCACAUUGGCUUCUUGUCACACAAGAGCCAGGCAGUGCGACAGUUGACAGCACACUGCCAUACCUAUAUCAUGCUGUCAACCAUCAACAAUGUGCCAUACAACUACAGCAGUCUUGUGGCAAGUUACAAACGCAAUUCUUGCUG